GAAUUACCCAAGGCCACAUGCGCAAGAGUGACGAACAUGUAAACCGCAUUAGUAGACAUCUUUGAUUAAUUCAAAUCUCCUUCCCUGGAUUCAAAUCUUCUCCUCCGCGUCAUAAUCCUUUGUCGGCGGCGGCAGAGCCUGAACUACCAAAUCCAUAUACCAAACUUCUCCUAUGUACGCCCUGAAUUUGAAUCUUGGCUCAGGUUCCCCAGACUCAUCAUCAACUAAACGAAUCAGAGCAACUUCUUCAUGAACCCUAGGUCGUAAAACGUAAAUUAAACUAUCCCUACCUGGAAUCGAAGCCCUAGGGUUGGGGUUCUGAUUCCAAUCACCUCCGGCUACACUACGGUAACCGGUUCAAUAUGGAACAAUGAAUAUACCAACGUACCUGCCGGAGACGACGAAGAGAGCGACAAUUCCAGUGAUUUCUUGCUUUGACUCUUUCUUCUUUAUGAAUGCGGAAAAUUCUUCUCCUUCUCCAAUCUCUAGUUUGUAGGAAUGGCUUCUUCUUGAGAUGCGUGUGCGAUUUGUUGCAACGGAGAGGGUGGCGAAUGUUGAAGCUCAACUGGUUGAAGCUUCUGAUGUUGAAGCCCUAACAGUUACGGUAAUUGAGAGCAUAUAGUGAGGGAUGAGAGAUGGAUUUAUAGAGUUGGGAAUGGUUAACUGAAUCGGGCAGUUCAGGCAGCUCUGUUAGGGCAGUUCACACUGUCAGUGAAAUUGCAAUGGAAGUUAGUUGAAUGUUAAAGUUCCGUUAAUUGUUCAGUUGGAAAUUCGUUAGAGACGUUAGUCACAGUCAUGUUUGUGGUGUGAAUUUUUGUGUUAUUAGCUGGGAUUCUCUUGUUUUGUUAAAUGUUAAAUGAAAAAGGAGUAUUGAAUAUUGUCUUUGGUUUUGUAAUGCUUUAAGUUUUGUAUUUGUGUUGUGUAAUAUUAUCCCCUGUGAAGGUCAGCUUGCCAGAUGCCAAUGGUGCCGUGAACUGCUGUGUGUGUGAUUGGAAUGUAUCAUCUGCUGCUUAAAGAGGGAUUACGGUUCGCUGCAGAAGGUUACAGCUCCCGCUGAUAGAACUAUCAGUGGUGAUUCCGGACCAAUUGUUAUCUCUGUCACUUAAGGAGUCUAUGUGAUAGUGCUCUUCAAUCAUGGUGGAAGAAAGUACAACAUAUUUUGAAGUCACAUUAGAUUUAUGCUCUCGAACAGUGUCCAGAAGAUCCUCAAGAGACCCAUUUUCCACAAAUUCAAAACCAAUUGAGUGAAAUUGCCUCAUAAGCAGCAUGGAAAUAAUCUGCUUGAUUACUAUUUCAUUCUCCCAGAACCUGCUAAUAGCCUGAGAUAGUAAAGCAACCAACUCAUUUGAGGACAUGCAAGCCUUGAUGGAGGAAUUCUCGCACAUGCCACUGCCCAAUAAUUUGAGCAGCUCACGAGGCAACUGGUCAGUGUUAUUCUCAAGAAAUGAUAAGAGAUCUCCAUGACUAAGAGAGUUGAAAUUCUUCACACCAAACUGCUCAGCCAACCAACUUUCACAGUUGCAAAACUUUCUCGAAAAAAUUAUUUUAUACUUCGCCUGUGAGCCACCAUUUCUAUAUAUCUCAAGAAAUGCAAUUUGUAUUCUCUACAUUAUCCUUUGCUACCAGUGGUACAUUUUCCAGGCUGGAUUCAAUAUCUAAGGUCUCGUAUUCAAGACUUUUGGUUGGUGAGUUUCGUUGAAUCGGUAGCGGCAGUGUGAUUAAAUAAGUUUGGAAGUUCAGUUUUGAACCUGUCAUGGUUAGCUUAGGUUCACAGACUUAAAAAUGGUUCUACUCCAAGCAGUCAUGCGAAGCUCCUUGUGAUUAAAACGGGAAAAGAGAGAAAGAGCUGCAGUUUUAUGUUUAUGCAUGUGUCAGUUUGCAAGGCUAUCACGUCACUGUUGGGUUAUGUUGAUGCGUUUCCUGCAGCCGGUAUGCUUGGGCCCAUUUUUAUUUGAUUUGAAUGCGGACAAGAUUAUGAACAUUUGGACUGGUUUGGUUUCAGUUGCUAGGCUCAGCCUUAAUAAUGUACUGAGUGCUUUGUCAAUUGGCACUUCCACCUUGACUUUAAAAACUUCAUACAUGAGUCUCUAACACUCCUCUCCAACACUUUGCCGAGAAGUGACCUGGCCCUUAUCUGCUUUAAGCAACACUGCAUAAGCCAAAAUAACUUCCUUGUAUUGUUGUUGUUCCAUCAUGUGAAUGCAUAUGCAUUUUGCUUCGUUACUUCACGUCAUCACGCUAUCCAUAGAUGUUGAUAAUGAUACACCUUCAAGUUUUGGCUUCUUCAAGUUCAAGACACCACCAUCCACUGAAACUUGCCUAUUUAAAUCAAUAUCCCUUAUUCUCUUCAACAUAUUUGAUGUAUUUUUGUUUUCUUGUCACAGUUGGAGAUCGUUGCGUGUUUUUCCGAAGGUUCUCAUUCAAUUAUGUGCUGGAAUUGUUGAAGGAGUUUGGGGUUUCCGGAACUUUAUUGCAGGUUUCAUGGUGUUACUGUUGUUGGUUGUGCACCUUGGUUCUACCGAUUGGAUACUGUGCAGCUUGUAUGCGGAAUGGAUGACGUGAUGAAUAUGCUUGCUUCAACUUCCUGCUGGAGCAAUAAACCAAAUGGAAGAGGCCAUAUAGAUGUGAUUGUGUACGCGGCAAUUGAACUGAAACUACUUCACCAGAUGUACUGUCAAACUAUAAAUUUGUAAUAUACAUAAAAGAGCUGCUUCAGUUGUAUGACCCAGAUGGCACCAGCACACCUUAACAAUAGAGGAUUACAGAGUAAGUCUCUUAAAUACUCUUGCAUCAAUCGACCAUAUAAUCUGUUUUCCUCUAAUAAAAAGCUCAUGAUCGCCGCGAUUAUUCAAAGAAGAAGCAACCUCGUCCCAAUGAUCUUGAACGACUCUAUCUCGAGCGAUUUCUGGAUCGAAGAGGAAGUAUUCAUAGUUUUCAGCGACAUUUUCAGCGGAUUUAGCGUCGAGAGAUUCUGCAAUGAGUCAAAAUGGCUUGAAUUCACCGAGCAGUGUUAAGCGACGCACUGCUAUGGACAUUGUUGAAGCUUGUAGAUAAUUUGCUUGGUUUGAGUUUGAUAGGGUUAUAAUGUAAAUGGAAUGUAUGGCUAAAUGUAAUUUGAUUGGAACUUUUAAUGGGAUUUUGAAUGGUGUGCUGUAAUGGUUUAUGACUUAAUGGUAAAAUAUGAUUGACAGUUGAAAUA